CGAGCGAAACUGGAUGAGCCUAAACCGUGUGCGUGUCAAGCGUGCUGGUGUUGCGUACAUGGUGUUGUGGGGUGUGUGUGUUCGGUUCAGCAUGACCGAGACGCUGAUGAGUGCUUACGUGUAGUCGAAGCUGGUGGGAAACAGUACCGGAGUGGGUGAGAGUCCCGUAGACGAAACGCGUGGCCCCGGUGUGACACGUGUCCCCGAGUAGCACGGAACUCGUGGAAUUCCGUGUGAAUCUGCCAGGACCACCUGGUAAGGCUAAAUACUUCCUGAUGACCGAUAGCGGAUCAGUACCGUGAGGGAAUGGUGAAAAGUACCCCGGGAGGGGAGUGAAAGAGUACCUGAAACCAUGUGCUUACAAUCCGUC
rnacentral:rRNA from 1 species